AUUGAACGCUGGCGGCAGGCCUAACACAUGCAAGUCGAGCGGAUGAAGGGAGCUUGCUCCUGGAUUCAGCGGCGGACGGGUGAGUAAUGCCUAGGAAUCUGCCUGGUAGUGGGGGAUAACGUCCGGAAACGGGCGCUAAUACCGCAUACGUCCUGAGGGAGAAAGUGGGGGAUCUUCGGACCUCACGCUAUCAGAUGAGCCUAGGUCGGAUUAGCUAGUUGGUGGGGUAAAGGCCUACCAAGGCGACGAUCCGUAACUGGUCUGAGAGGAUGAUCAGUCACACUGGAACUGAGACACGGUCCAGACUCCUACGGGAGGCAGCAGUGGGGAAUAUUGGACAAUGGGCGAAAGCCUGAUCCAGCCAUGCCGCGUGUGUGAAGAAGGUCUUCGGAUUGUAAAGCACUUUAAGUUGGGAGGAAUGGCAGUAAGUUAAUACCUUGCUGCUUUGACGUUACCAACAGAAUAAGCACCGGCUAACUUCGUG
rnacentral:rRNA from 1 species